GUUCUGAGUUCACAUUCCUCAAGCAACAACCUUUGUGGUCCUCUUGCCGGUUAACUUGCUUUAUUUCUUUUAUUUUGAUUUCAAGUUUCUGCAAAAAGUAGAUGUGAUGACAGAGGACAUCUGAAGUACUUGUGAACGGUUUUGUUUAGUGACUGCAUGGACCGAGGUGUGGAUCUAACAUGAGCAAAAGGCUGGACACGUCGAGCACCAUCAGACACCAGGAAGACGUGACGCACCCAUGAAUUUUCUCCUUCAUUCCACCGGAGUCUGUCGUUUGUCAUAUCAGAUUUCAGUGGGGUGAAGUUUAAAACGCAUGGGACUCUACCACCUUUUUGACCUCAGCCAUGGCCAUCCAGGUCCACCUCAUGCAGGGAUUGUUACAGGACUUCUUGAUUUAUUCAUAUUAAAUGUUCACUUCCAGUACUCAGUACAGGGGGGCCAAGUUCUCCCUUCCACCAAUGGGCAUUCUUUAAUUCUUGCAGAAUUACAAUGUGGUAAUGUUAGCUGUUAGCUUCCAUCAACAGAGUCAGGGCUAACGUAAUGUGCUCACCCUUUCACCAUCUACCCUAUGCCUCUGCUCAGAGAGUGACACCAUUUCCACACAUCGUCAAGAAGCGUGUUACUUUGCUCCGUUUGACGCAGUCCGCCCCCUCCCAACUCACUCCAAAUGCCAGGUGGUGAGAGGCAAUGGUUCACCCUGGGGUCUUCUAAAGUUCAUCCAAGAAAACCAGGGACCCCCUGCCACAGAAAGCUCACCCCCCUUAUGCAUUGUGUCUGAGCUCUAAGUUCUUGCCUUAACCUCUCCAAUAAACAUACUACAAAUGUAUUGUA